rnacentral:rRNA from 1 species
AGAAUGAACGCUGGCGGCGCGCCUAAUACAUGCAAGUCGAGCGAGAAGACGUAGCAAUACGUUUGUAAAGCGGCGAACGGGUGAGGACUACAUGGGUAACCUACCCUCGAGUGGGGAAUAACUAGCCGAAAGGUUAGCUAAUACCGCGUACGCUUCUUGGACUUCGGUUCAGGGAGGAAAGCGAUCGCGAAGGUAUCGCGCUUCGUUGGAUGGGCUCGACUGUCCUAUCUAGUCGUUGUUAGGUAGAGGUAACGGCUACGACCUAAGGCGUUCGACGGUAGCUGGUCUGGACGAGACGAGUCCAGCCACGACUGGCACGUACGACCGGACCACGGGCCUACGAACCGUCCGUACGGGAAGGCC